AUUGAACGCUGGCGGCAGGCCUAACACAUGCAAGUCGAGCGGAUGAAGGGAGCUUGCUCCUGGAUUCAGCGGCGGACGGGUGAGUAAUGCCUAGGAAUCUGCCUGGUAGUGGGGGAUAACGUCCGGAAACGGGCGCUAAUACCGCAUACGUCCUGAGGGAGAAAGUGGGGGAUCUUCGGACCUCACGCUAUCAGAUGAGCCUAGGUCGGAUUAGCUAGUAGUUGGGGUAAAGGCCUACCAAGGCGACGAUCCGUAACUGGUCUGAGAGGAUGAUCAGUCACACUGGAACUGAGACACGGUCCAGACUCCUACGGGAGGCAGCAGUGGGGAAUAUUGGACAAUGGGCGAAAGCCUGAUCCAGCCAUGCAGCGUGUGUGAAGAAGGUCUUCGGAUUGUAAAGCACUUUAAGUUGGGAGGAAGGGCAGUAAGUUAAUACCUUGCUGUUUUGACGUUACCAACAGAAUAAGCACCGGCUAACUUCGUG
rnacentral:rRNA from 1 species